rnacentral:tRNA from 1 species
AGGGCUGUAGCUCAGUGGUAGAGCACCUGCUUUGCAUUCAGAAGGUCCCAGGUUCAAUCCCCGGCAUCUCUA